GACGAACGUUGGCGGCGUGCUUAAUACAUGCAAGUCAACUGAAGCAGUGGUAGCAAUAUCGCUGUGGAAGUGGCGCACGGGUGAGUAACACGUAGGUAAUCUGCCUUCAGGUCUGGCAUAACUCCGGGAAACCGGGGCUAAUAGCAGAUGAUGCAGCGGCUCGACAUCGAGACAGUUGUUAAAGCUAUGGCGCCUGAAGAUGAGCCUGCGUCUGAUUAGCUAGUUGGCGGGGUAACGGCCCACCAAGGCAACGAUCAGUAGCUGGUCUGAGAGGAUGAUCAGCCACACUGGAACUGAGACACGGUCCAGACUCCUACGGGAGGCAGCAGUAAGGAAUAUUGCUCAAUGGGAGAAAUCCUGAAGCAGCAACGCCGCGUGAGGGACGAAGGGCUUUUGCUUGUAAACCUCUGUAGUGAGAGAAAAAAAUCCCAAUCUUUGGGACAUGAUGGUAUCUCAAAAGUAAGCCCCGGCUAACUACGUG
rnacentral:rRNA from 1 species